ensembl:snRNA U6 U6 spliceosomal RNA
AUGCUUGCUUUGACAGCACACGUACUAACACUGGAAUAAGUCAGAGAAAGUUAGCAUGGCCCCUGAGCAAGGAUGAUGCACAGAUUCGUGAAAUGUUUUCUAUUGGG